rnacentral:sRNA from 1 species
UCCCGUCUCGCGAAAAGUGGCCGAUUGUGGCCGCCUGCCCCCAUCUAUGUUGAUGGACAAGGCUAGCGAGACGGGUUGCU